GGCCAGGUAGCUCCAUUGGUUAGAGCAUUGUCCUGAUACGCCAAGGUUACAGGUUCUAGCCCUGAUCAGGGCA
rnacentral:tRNA from 1 species